rnacentral:rRNA from 1 species
AUUGAACGCUGGCGGUAGGCCUAACACAUGCAAGUCGAACGGCAGCACAGUAAGAGCUUGCUCUUACGGGUGGCGAGUGGCGGACGGGUGAGGAAUACAUCGGAAUCUACUUUUUCGUGGGGGAUAACGUAGGGAAACUUACGCUAAUACCGCAUACGACCUACGGGUGAAAGCAGGGGAUCUUCGGCCCUUGCGCGAUUGAAUGAGCCGAUGGCGGAUUAGCUAGUUGGCGGGGUAAAUGCCCACCAAGGCGACUAUCCGUAUCUGGUCUGAGAGGAUGAACAGCCACACUGGAACUGAGACACGGUCCAGACUCCUACGGGAGGCAGCAGUGGGGAAUAUUGGACAAUGGGCGCAAGCCUGAUCCAGCCAUACCGCGUGGGUGAAGAAGGCCUUCGGGUUGUAAAGCCCUUUUGUUGGGAAAGAAAAGCAGCAGGUUAAUACCCCGCUGUUCUGACGGUACCCAAAGAAUAAGCACCGGCUAACUUCGUG